GCCGCUGUGGCUUAGAGGUAAAGCGGCUGAUUCGUAAUCAGCAGAGCGUGGGUUCAAGUCCCACCAGCGGCU
rnacentral:tRNA from 3 species